rnacentral:lncRNA from 1 species
UACAAAUACCUCCUCCGCUAUCUUCUUCCUCAUUCCAACAGCAACACGAGCUCAGUGCGUGCACGCACACUAAAUCUUAUAUAGCCGGACAUCCAAAGUCGAGGUAGACGAUUACCAUGGCAAUCGCGAAGACCAGCUACUUGGCGAUCGCUUGCCUGUGCUUGCUUCUACUGACAGCACCGGCAACGUCCGAUACUAUGUCGCCGGCAGCGACGUCGGAUGGUCUCUCGCCGCCGAGUGAAACCGUCUCCUCCAGCUCCAACGCAUGUCUUCACCAGUGCGUCGCAGCGGGCAACUGGAGAGCGUUUUGCAAUCUCAGAUGCUUCCUCGGGGCGGGCGGCGACGCGAGUAAGUCAUAGUUGGCGUUGUUUACGUACCCCUUCUGGCGCUCUCUCACCCCAUCAUCUCCGAAUGAAUUACUUGGCUCAAGAUUGGUUGUCGUGUUUCCUUGUUCUGCAGAAACUGCCGAUGAAUCAGGCGACACCAAGAGUCCGUGAAGAGUUCUCUUGCUUGAUAUGAUACGAUCAAUGAAUAACAAGUGUCUAAGAGCUGAUCGGUCUCCCUGUGAUCUCUACUCGGCCGAGGCAUUUCAUCGUGUUACAAGUUUAUCGUUGUAAAAUUCUUUUUCUCAUUGAAAUUUCAUGGACGUCCCCCAAGUUUAUGAACGUUGUUUCCUUGUUUUGUUGUUCUAAGAAGCAUUUUUUCGGCGCUGCACUCAACAAAAGUAUGGGUUGAAGUGUUAUUCUAUCGCUUCGGAUCAAAAUCUUUAGCAUCGAUCGAUAUUGCUGA